AGGAGAUCGCUGUGCUUUCUACCAUUAUCUUCUUAAUACUCUGCAUGGACUUUAUUUUAUUUCGCUUUUCUUGCUGCUGUGUUGUUGAAAGUACCAAUUUGAGUUCCCUGUGGUUAUAAUUGAGCUCUAAAAUCUCAUUCUAUCAUCGUUGAUCCAUCUUGUAUGGAGAAAGUAAGGGAUCAGGGGAAUAAGAAAGGGAUUUAUUUUUUAAUUCAAACUCCAAAUUUCUUAAAAUUAUUUAUGAGGUGUGGCCAUUUUCUUUUACACACCAACAAUUUAACAAAUUAAUAUCCAGCAAAAAAAACAAAAAAAAAAAACAGCACUUCAAUUGCUUAGACAUCAGCCCAAACAUCCUCACCAAACAAUCUGAUCUUUCUUUUCACUUCCAUUUUGAUCCAUGUUCCCGUAGCUUGGUUUUUCAUGGCCUCCUCAUGAAUUGUGACCUUAUCAUCCACUCGAAGACCCCUCUCACGAACAAAUUUAAUCCAACCCACAGAAAGAAAAUGUCCCAUACUCUCAUUUCUCUUGAUGGUGCAAGAGAAGAUCCAUUCCUGACCAUUACCAUCGUGAACAUGCAUGUUCAUCGACUGGCCUUCUUGGAAUGGUAAUGGACCAAGAGAACAACCAGGAAUAGACAAGCCAUUCUCAAUAUCAUCUGCAGUUAGAAACUUUGAAAAGACUAAUGCCAUUGCUUGCUUCAAAAAA